GGUUCGAUCAUGGCUCAGAUUGAACGCUGGCGGAUGUUUGGCGCACAUGCAAGUCGGUCCGCGCACGGACUUCGGUCUUGGUGGCGAGUGGCGAACGGGUGAGUAAUGUAUCGAAACGUGCCUAGUAGCGGUGGAUAACUACGCGAAAGCGUAGCUAAUACCGCAUACGCCCUUCGAGUGGCGGGGACCUUCGGGCCUCGCACUAUUAGAGCGGCCGAUAUCGGAUUAGCUAGUUGGUGGGGUAACGCUCACCAAGGCGACGGUCCGUAGCCGGUUUGAGAGGACGACCAGCCACACUGACUGAGAUACUUGGGCCCAGACUCCUACGGAGGCAGCAGGGGGGAAUUUUGGAGCAAUGGGGGAAACUCCCGAUCCAGCCAUCCGGCGUGUGCGAUGUGAAGGCUCUCGGGUUGUGUAAAGCACUUUUGGCAGGAAAGAAACGGCACGGAUAAUACCCCGUGCAACUGACGGUACCGUAGUCAGCACUGUCAAUUACGGGCCAGCAGCCGCGGUAAUACGUAGGGUGCAAGCGUUAAUCGGAAUUACUGGGCGGGCGCGCAGGCGGUUCGGAAAGAAAGAUGUGAAAUCCCAGAGCUUAACUUUGGAACUGCAUUUUUAACUACCGGGCUAGAGUGUGCCAGAGUGGAGGUGAAUCUCCGCGUGUAGCAGUGAAAUGCGUAGAUAUGCGGAGGAACAGCCCUGAUGGCGAAGUGGCAGCCUCCUGGGAUAACACUGACGCUCAUGCACGAAAGCGUGAUAAACAGGAUUAGAUGACCCGGUAGUCCACGCCUCUAAAACGAUGUCAACUAGCUGCUUGGGGCCUCUUUUCGCUCGUAGCGCAGCUAACGUGAAGUUGACCGCCUGGGGAGUACGGUCGCAAGAUUAAACUCACAAAGGAAUUGACGGGGACCGCGUACAAGCGGUGGAUGAUGUGGAUUAAUUCGAUGCAACGCGAAAAACCUUACUCUACUCCUUUGACAUGUCUGGAAUCCCGAAGAGAUUUGGGAGUGCUCGCAAGAGAACUCGGAACACAGGUGCUGCAUGGCUGUCGUCAGUUCGUGUCGUGAGAUGUUGGGUUAAGUCCCGCAACGAGCGCAACCCUAUUACAGGUUGCUACGAAAGGGCACUCUACUCAGAUUCGCCGGUGACAAACCGGAGGAAGGUGGGGAUGACGUCAAGUCCUCAUGGCCCUUAUGGGUAGGGCUUCAUGACGUCAUACAAUGGUCGGACAGAGGGUUGUCGCCAACCGCGAGGGGGAGCCAAUCCCAGAAACCCGAUCGUAGUCCGGAUCGCAGUCUGCAACUCGACUGCGGAAGUCGGAAUCGCUAGUAAUCGCGUGGAUCAGCAUGUCGCGUGGUGAAUACGUUCCUGGGUCUUGUACACACCGCCCGUCACACCAUGGGAGGUCACUGAGAAGUAGUUAGCCCAACCGUGGUGAGUGGCGAUUACCACGGUAGAUCUUAUGACUGGGGUGAAGUCGAACAAGGUAA
rnacentral:rRNA from 1 species